rnacentral:rRNA from 1 species
UACGAAGGGGGCUAGCGUUGCUCGGAAUCACUGGGCGUAAAGCGCACGUAGGCGGCUUCUUAAGUCAGGGGUGAAAUCCUGGAGCUCAACUCCAGAACUGCCUUUGAUACUGAGGAGCUCGAGUCCGGGAGAGGUGAGUGGAACUGCGAGUGUAGAGGUGAAAUUCGUAGAUAUUCGCAAGAACACCAGUGGCGAAGGCGGCUCACUGGCCCGGUACUGACGCUGAGGAGCGAAAGCGUGGGGAGCGAACAGG